UCCUUUUCCGACAGUCUGCCCUGAGCCCUGCUGGGGGCUUCACAGGGUACAGACGGCGAGAGAGAACCCAUGGCCACCACGCCCCCGGGGGCUCACAGACAAAUGGCAAAGGGUUACUAAAUACACACGGAAAGGGACAGAAGCACCAGGGGGAGCAACCCCACCUGCCUCUCCACCUCUGGAAGCUGCCAUGAUACACCACCGAGUGUCCCGCAAGGAAUGCAAGAGUGGACAGCCUUGGGCCAGAGGCCCCCCUGGAAGCGCUGCACACUGGGCUGAGACCCGGGAGCCAGGGAGCCAGCAGCAUUCACAGGACCCCCCCAGCCUUCCUAGCAACUUCCUGUCAGAGGACCUAGGGCAAGUGACUUCACCACCAGGAUGUCAGUUUCCUCAUCUGUCAACGGGGCAUAGAGAACAGUUCCUGCUUCAUGGGGUUGAUCUGAUGAUGGAGGGUUCUUAAGGGUGUGGGAGGACGAGCACACCGCAGGCUCCAUCAGAGAUCAUUUGUAUCAUAGGGUCUGUCCCGGAUGCCAACCAAGUAGGGCAGAGGCAUCCACGGCCCCAACCUGCCCUGAGUGUUUUUGUUUUUUUGUUUUUUUUUAUACCAGGGAUUGAACCCAAGGGCGCUUUCCCAGUGAGCUACAUCCCCAGUCCUUUUUAUUUUUAUUUGGAGACAGGGUCUUGCUAAGCUACCUAGGGCCUCCUAAGGUGCUGAGGCUGACUUUGAACUUGUGAUCCUCCUGCCUCUGCCUCCCACCUUGCAGGGAUUACAGGCCUGUGCCACUGUGCCUGGCCUGCUCUGAUUUUUUUUUUUUUAACCUCACAAAGAAAUGCAAGACUGAAGUCUCUGCCCACCUGUCAUCACAGACUCUGAGGACCUGAGACAGAGUCUUUUUCCUUUGCUGCCCUUGACCUGGAUUUCUGUCGCCCUUGUAUGUAGUGGCGGGGGUGGGGGGGACACAAGCAUCACGGAGCAGGUGGGCAAGGCACAGGGAAAGGCCCUCCAUUGCUCCUGCAGAGGGCCCGAGGCUGGGGCAGGGCGGGGCACCCCUGGCUCUCAGAGCACUUCAGACCUGGUCAAGUGAAAGCCACUUGCCUAAGACCUUGUGUACAGAAGGAUUUUUUAGAUUAGAGUCUUCACAUUAUCUCCCAAAGAGAUCACAAGAUGGUUACAGCCUCCUGAAGGGGUCAAGGGAGGCAGGGGGCCAUCAAGCCUGCACAAACUCUGUCCCAAGAUCCCAAUGGAGGUACAUAAGGGUCCGUUUUCUAUGCAUCUUGUCCAUCCUGAAUCUCAUGUACCUGCAUUACAAACCACUCUCUGCCUGUUUUUUACAGGUUUACAUUUGUUCAAUGUAAAUGUGAUUUUUGUAUGCUUGCUUUGGACGUUUUAAAAUUUGCUUUUGUAUUGUGGGA